GGCCAAAUAAAACCAGAGUUAUGAUAAAUUAUGUCCGUGAUACUUUUUUUCUGCUUAUUUUGAUCACGUUCGGCGCUCGAUCGCGCUGUAUGAGACAGGAAAACAUAGCAUGCAGACAUUAGCGACAGGUCUUACAGGCGGAAAAGGCUUGCCAAAGAAAAAAAAAACACACCACAACAUCUCUCCUAUUGGUGGAAAACUUCACCACAACAACCAAUCCAAAAUUAUAUGGUGACUGAUUGACAAGGGGCGGGCGCUUACGUUCUUCCUGCAACAUGAGAAGGGAGGGAGGAACUCUCAGCAGGGAUGCAGUCUGGGACACGUAGUUGCAAACCUAGCGACUUUGUUGUUAGAUUCAAUGACUUUUCAGACCCCCUAACGACUUUUUUUUAGAAAGAAAGGGACUUUUAUCGACUUCUUCUGGAGUUUAGAGACUCUGACAUGAAGCAGGCUUUCCUUACUGAGGAGUUAGCAACGCUGCUAAGGGUGCAGAGCCACACAUGCGCUCCGAGCUCUGCAUGGGAGACUAAAGCUGACAGAGCUGCAGCAGUUAGCAGGUUUCACCCUCAGAGACCACCAGGGGUUCAUGUUGAGGCAUUUUCAGUUUUUUUUUUUUUUUUGCCAUAGACACUGUCAGCACAAUCUGCAGUUACACUAACAAAAAUGCUGCAAAAAACAAAGAAUUAUGGAAAAAUUACACAUGGACUGACAUAGAGGAGGAUCUACACAAGUUUUUUACAUCAUGUUUUACAUCAUGCAUCAUUUACAUCAUGUUUUUUUGUAGUGGCAUAAAUAAAAAGUGACAUUUGUGAGACUAUACAGUGUUUUGUAAAUAAUUUUACAAAGAACGCCUGGGCCAUUGCCUGCAUUUUGAUGUAAAUAGAGGUAAAUUACUAUGUUCUUUGUUAAAAAUUUGCAUAUGUUUUGAAGUUUACAAUUUUUAUUUGAAGUUUAAGUUUUAAAAACAGUUCAUCACACAUAUUUGUGGUUUAAUUUCACAUUAAUUUCCAUAUUGUAUAAAUGACUGGAAAAAACUUGAGCCCCUGCCCCUGUAUAAUCAUGUGCACGUCCCUGUUCUAGCUCCAAGGUGAAUCUUCACUGCUCAUGUUCUCCUCAGAAAUAGUCACCUCACUCCCCUCAGGUUACUGUACACAUGCACCAACUAUCUGCUUCAGGUUUGGAUGGAGCUUCAUGGUUGUCUUUUGGAGAAAUGAACAGUCAAGUUGUGUUUGAAAUUUGAUUUUUUUCAGGGGCAAAAGGAAGCCUCUGCAUUCUUGUCAAAUAUGUAAACAGCAUGUUUUUGCAGGUGCUAAAAAACAGACUCUGAGUGUGUGUGUGUGUGUGUGUGUGUGUGUGUGUGUGUGUGUGUGUGUGUGUGUGUGUGUGUUGGCGUGUGUGUAUAUGUGUGUGUGUCCGGCAGUACUCUGUACUCCUGCAGUGGCCAAAAAGACUUUUAAGAAUGUGGAUUUUUGGGUCAUCUUUGGCGCCCCCUAGAACUGCAGUACUCUGUACUCCUGCAGUGGCCAAAAUGACUUUUAAGAAUGUGGAUUUUUGGGUCAUCUUUGGCGCCCCCUAGAACGUAAACCGUGGGGUGCAGCGUCAUGAUUUUUACAACUUUGAAUGGCCAUGGGGUGUAGAUUGCCCUGAGCAAAUUUGGGAUCGGUGGGACGAAAGCCUUAGGAGGAGAUAGCCACAUUCCAAUGUGUGCGAAUCGGCAAAAAAUGCGAAAUAGCCCUUUAACCAUACAUUUGACAGAUACGUGCCUAUUGACUUUUUUGUAGAUCUUAUUGAGAUACACGUGAUUGUCAAAUUGUGUGUCAAUAUGACGAAGUGUAUAGGCGUGACACUCAACAAUGUGUAUUUUUACCUUAGGAGACAAGAAAAAAUGGACUUUUUUCUCCUGCCAUGGGGGGGCGCUCUUUUGGGGAGUAAAAAUUCCUUCACAAAUGUGUUGAUGGCUGGACAUUGCAUCAUCCUAGAAAACUUGGAGGCCAGUGAGGACAAAAAUAAAAAGUUAUAAGACUUUUAAGAAUGUGGAUUUUUGGGUCAUCUUUGGCGCCCUCUAGAACGUAAACCGUGGGGUGCAGCGUCAUGAUUUUUACAACUUUGAAUGGCCAUGGGGUGUAGAUUGCCCUGAGCAAAUUUGGGAUCGGUGGGACGAAAGCCUUAGGAGGAGAUAGCCACAUUCCAAUGUGUGCGAAUCGGCAAAAAAUGCGAAAUAGCCCUUUAACCAUACAUUUGACAGAUACGUGCCUAUUGACUUUUUUGUAGAUCUUAUUGAGAUACACGUGAUUGUCAAAUUGUGUGUCAAUAUGACGAAGUGUAUAGGCGUGACACUCAACAAUGUGUAUUUUUACCUUAGGAGACAAGAAAAAAUGGACUUUUUUCUCCUGCCAUGGGGGGGCGCUCUUUUGGGGAGUAAAAAUUCCUUCACAAAUGUGUUGAUGGCUGGACAUUGCAUCAUCCUAGAAAACUUGGAGGCCAGUGAGGACAAAAAUAAAAAGUUAUAAGACUUUUAAGAAUGUGGAUUUUUGGGUCAUCUUUGGCGCCCUCUAGAACGUAAACCGUGGGGUGCAGCGUCAUGAUUUUUACAACUUUGAAUGGCCAUGGGGUGUAGAUUGCCCUGAGCAAAUUUGGGAUCGGUGGGACGAAAGCCUUAGGAGGAGAUAGCCACAUUCCAAUGUGUGCGAAUCGGCAAAAAAUGCGAAAUAGCCCUUUAACCAUACAUUUGACAGAUACGUGCCUAUUGACUUUUUUGUAGAUCUUAUUGAGAUACACGUGAUUGUCAAAUUGUGUGUCAAUAUGACGAAGUGUAUAGGCGUGACACUCAACAAUGUGUAUUUUUACCUUAGGAGACAAGAAAAAAUGGACUUUUUUCUCCUGCCAUGGGGGGGCGCUCUUUUGGGGAGUAAAAAUUCCUUCACAAAUGUGUUGAUGGCUGGACAUUGCAUCAUCCUAGAAAACUUGGAGGCCAGUGAGGACAAAAAUAAAAAGUUAUAAGACUUUUAAGAAUGUGGAUUUUUGUGUUAUCUUUGGCGCCCCCUAGAAAGUAAACCGUGGGGUGCAGCAUCAUGAUUUGUACAACUUUUAAUGGCCAUGGGGUGUAGAUUGGCCUGAGCAAAUUUGGUGCCGGUGGAACGAAAGCCUUCGGAGGAGUUAGCGAAAUUCCAAUGUGUGCGGAUCGGCAAAAAAAGCGAAAUAGCCCUUUAACCGUACAUUUGGCAGAUACGCCCGCACUGACUUUUUCGUAGAUCUUAUUGAGAUACACAUGUGUGUCAAAUUUUGUGUCAUUUUGACAAAGCGUACAGGCAUCAGGUGAGUUUUCACCAUAGGGGGCGCUAUGGAGCCAUUUUUCAUUUUUUUGUUUGGACGACUUCAGAAUAUCAAAUUUUUCACCAGGCCCGGUCGUCCUGCCAAAUUUCCUGAGUUUUCGCCAGUGGGAAGUGGGCCAUUUUCCAGUUUAAAGCGGAGGAAAAAUAACGAAAGAAGAAUCCAUCAGGAACAAGAGGGCUCUCGCAGCUGCUUAGCAGCUACGCUCGGGCCCUAAAGAAAGAAAGAAAGAAAGAAAGAAGAAAGAAAAACCUAUACAGGAAUAAUAGGGCUCUACGCCCGGCUGCUCUGCAGCUGGCUCGGGCCCUAAUAACAAAAGAAGGAAACUACAGGAACAAGAGGGCUCUCGCAGCUGCUUAGCAGCUACGCUCGGGCCCUAAUAAUAACUAGGGCCCCGGUGGGGCACUGUCGGGCCCGAGCCGCGUCGUGCCGCCCCCAGCGUGACCGCCUCCCCCUCCCGAUCGCGUCACACUCAAGGUCCAAAGAUGGUGUGCGCACUUGUCUGUGGUCAUUUCCCAUUAUAAUGAAUGGGAGGCGCAGUUUCUACCAAAACACUCGCUGCAGACAAACUUCAUGUCCUAUUUGAAAAAAGUCUGGACCAUGAGUGAGGGCACAAACACAGCUGGGAUAUAUCCAAAUGGCAGGUUGCUCCUCGUUACGGUGUUGCCUGGAGAGCGAUGCGAUUGAGCCAUUGAGCGAUGGGCAGGAAAAACUUGACUUUUUCUCCUGCCAUGGGGGGGGAGAAUGUGGAUUCUUUUAAGAAUGUGGAUUUUUUGGUCAUCUUUGGCGCCCCCUAGAACGUAAACCGUGGGGUGCAGCGUCAUGAUUUUUACAACUUUGAAUGGCCAUGGGGUGUAGAUUGGCCUGAGCAAAUUUGGUUUCAGUGGGACGAAAGCCUUAGGAGGAGUUAGCCACAUUCCAAUGUGUGCGAAUCGGCAAAAAAUGCAAAAUAGCCCUCUAACCGUACAUUUGACAGAUACGCACCCAUUGACUUUUUCGUAGAUCUUAUUGAGAUACACGUGAUUGUCAAAUUUUGUGUCAAUAUGACAAAGCGUACAGGUGUCACACUCAACAAUGUGAAUUUUCACCUUACGGGACAAGAAAAAAUGGACUUUUUUCUCCUGCCAUGGGGGGGCGCUCUUUUGGGGAGUAAAAAUUCCUUCACAAAUGUGUUGAUGGCUGGACAUUGCAUCAUCCUAGAAAACUUGGAGGCCAGUGAGGACAAAAAUAAAAAGUUAUAAGACUUUGAAAUAUGUGGAUUUUAGGGUUAUCUUUGGCGCCCCCUAGAACCUAAACCGUGGGGUGCAGCGUCAUGAUUUGAAUAAAUUUUAAUGGCCAUGGGGUGUAGAUUGGCCUGAGCAAAUGUGGUGCCGGUGGAAAGAAAGCCUUCGGAGGAGUUAGCGAAAUUCCAAUGUGUGCGGAUCGGCAAAAAAUGCGGAAUAACCCUUUAACCGUACAUUUGACAGAUACGCCCGCACUGACUUUUUUGUAGAUCUUAUUGAGAUACAUAUGUGUGUCAAUUUUUGUGUCAUUUUGACAAAGCGUAAAGGCGUGACAGUCAAUAGUGUGAAUUUUCACCUUAGGGGGCGCUAUGGAGCCAUUUUGCAUUUUCUUGUUUGGGCGACUCCGGAAUAUCAAAUUUUUCACCAGGCCCGGUCAUCCUGCCAAAUUUCAUGAGUUUUCGCCAGUGGGAAGUGGGCCAUUUUCCAGUUCAAAGGGGAGGAAAAAGAAGAAAGAAAGAAAGAAAGAAAGAAACAAAGAAAAACCACUUGGGGAAUAAUAGGGCUCUCGCAGCUGCUUAGCAGCUACGCUCGGGCCCUAAUAACUAGGACCCCGUUGGGGCACUGGCGGGCCCGAGCCGUGUCACGUCUCCCCCCCCC